CAGAUUGUGGCAGUAUGAGGUGAGUGGCUGCAAUAUUAACCAAUCAGCAGAGGGGGCGACAUAUUUAAGCAGGCGUAGAGCCAGCUUUGGGAAGUUCAUCUGGUCGACAGGUCACCUGACUUCCGGCUGUUGCGGGUAUUAUCGCCACUGCGCGUGAAACAAGCUCUCGCACCAAGACUGCUGUGGGAAAACUCACGUAUCGUGCCUGCCUCUCGCGCCGAGCCGACUUCCGGGUGUGGCAAACCCCCGUCAUUCGGGGGGAUUUAUCUGACAGCAUUUUAACGACACAGCCACCGCUUAGAAGACAGACAGCGGUCCGCGGUGGCGUGUGGAUCAGGAGCUUCACAGCCAUUCCCCACGCCGACAGACCGCUGCUCGGCUGAUUGAUGCUGCUUUGCUUAUUUUAAUUUGUUGGAUCCUUUUUAAGUUAUUGGGGACGCAUUUUAUUGUUUGCUGUUCCACUGGAAGCCUGGGACGAGGCCCGCAACGAAGACUGAUCUUGGCGGGUGGCUUCCUGUGUGGAUAUUUUAUAUUGCAACAGUUUUAUGUUUGUUUAUUUAUUGUCUUUUAUUUUGGCGUGCCCAAACUUCAUGGUUCUUAUACUAAUUGUAUUUUAUUCUUUCUUUUAGUGGCCGGAAACCGUAGGAGUUGGUGGUGCCUUAACGGUGUGGGUCCCUUUUCCUGGUUUGCGCCUCCCCUCCUUUGCAUGCUGAGCACGUCUGCCUGUGCUGUGUGGCCAAAGUGCUGUGUGAAGAGUGGUUAUCUUGCACGUGUGUCUGGGGUGGUCUUAGUUUGGCUCCCUUCACUUUGUUUGGCCCACCUUCCUCCCGGUAAGCUUCCGCCAUCUUUUAUUAUUGGACCGUGAGUUUCUUUUAGUCUUGUUUUGUUUUAUUUAUUUUUAAACAAUAAAAAUUGUUUAAUUAUUUGGA